rnacentral:tRNA from 1 species
UUUAUUUUGGCAGAUUAGUGCAAAGGAUUUAGAAUCUUUAAAUGUAUAUUUAUACAAAUAAAA